CUCCUUGAAACGCUCCUUGCUGAUCACGGUGGCGCUGAUGGCGACAACCACCACACUAACGGUGGCCCAAACACCGUCAUGUGCUUCUCAAUUAGUACCAUGUGCAACUUACCUCAACUCAACAAAACCACCGGCUUCUUGCUGUGACCCACUCAAAGAAGCCGUGACCAAAGAUCUUGAUUGUCUCUGCAACCUGUACGAAAAUCCUACGUUGUUGCCUUCUCUUGGUAUUAAUGUUACUCAAGCACUUGCGCUUCCUAAGGCUUGUAAUAUCCCCGGAGAUUAUCUUGAUUGUCUCUGCAUCCUGUACGAAAAUCCUACAUUGUUGCCUUCUCUUGCUAUUAAUAUUACUCCAGCACUUGCUCUUCCUAAGGCUUGUAAUAUCCCCGGAGAUAUUAGCGCUUGUAAAGCUGC
rnacentral:lncRNA from 1 species